UUACUUCACUCCUUCAUGUGUUUCUAUGGCGUGUGGAAGAGAAAAACAAAGAAAAAUACCCCAGAAACACGUUUCAACAGCACUCGAGUUCCCGUAGCCAUGGCGGAGAAACCACAGGAUGAACCGAUGAAGGAGAAGUCGAAGGAGACAAAGAAGGAGGAGAAAAAGAAGAAGGAGACAAAGAAGGAGGAGAAAAAGAAGAAGGAGCCAUCCCCGGAGACAGAGCCGGGCCAGAUGCGGAUCAGGCCCUGGGCGGAGUACACAAGCUACCUCACCAGGAUCCCCCCGGAGGACUUCUCUUACAAAAAUCCGAAAAUAGUCGACCCCAAGGUUCAGGAGUUGAUCGACAAGGGGAUUGAGUUGAUGGAGGCAGACAAGAACGUGGAGGCGAUUGAGGUGUUUACGGAGGCCAUCAAGCUUGACGAUAAGUAUGCCCUCAUCACCAUCAACAGGGCGGCUUGUUACGCACGGCUGGGGAACUUCAUUGAUGCGCUGGAGGACUGUGAGACCACCUGUGAACUAAGACCCGACUGGCCGCAGGCCUACCUGAGGAAGGGGACGGUGCUGCUGGAGCUGUUCCGCCACCGCUUCGCCCACUCCGCCUUCAAGCGGGGUUACGAGCGUGAGCCGACAAAUAUGAAACUCGAGAGGGGACAGUACGAAGCCUUGGUCAGGCUGCAGAGAAGAGGAAAGAAGAAACCGUGGCCAAAUGUGGUGGUGACGGCCCUCUCGGAUAAGUCUGUCCAGCAUAUCCUGUUUCGGGACCCCAAGAGCAGGCACCUGAUGAUUGAGCCUGAUUUUUACGAGAUCAUCGAGAAAAUUAGGCACGACCCCAAGGAGAUAAGACAGCACAUGUUAAAAGAUGACUACAAGGUGGCAAUGUGCGUCGCCGUGGCCAGUGGGUCUGAUGUGAACGAUUCUGAAGUGGACUACGAAGACAUGGCGUUCCCCGUGGAGGCCAGGGAGAAGAAGGAGAAGUACGCAAAGAUCCCCUGGCAAUACGAAUACAACCCCAUCAAGGAGGUUUUCGUCCCCCCUACUCCCCCGCCGAAGAGGAAGGAAAGAUAUCCGUUCCCAUUCUUCGAGCUUGAAAUGGAGAAAGAGAUGGGGUUGAUGAGAAGCCAUAGACUCACAAAUUACGAACUUGAUUUUGACUACAUGGACCGGAAGAAGUUCUAUUAAGGGGAGAGUCUGCCGAGUCCGCUGUGAAAACAUGAAAAAUUUCAAAAAAUACGAAAUUGAGUUAUAUGCUGAGAGAUGAGUCAGAGGCGGGGUGAUCCGUGUGUGGCCAUGGCGCUCAGAGGGACUCCAGUUCACGUCCCGCCCAGUAAUGCAUGCUGUCCCUAGACCAUCUAUCAACCCGGACUCAAGAUUCUCUUUAACCCGGUAGCUGCGGGGAUCAUGUUUCUUAAAGGUUCCUCUAAGCGAAUUAAUGAGAAAAAGUCAUCACUCACGCAAAUCAUUAUUUAAUAUGUACCAACACAUAUGUCAUCAGUUUAUGCAUCCUCUAUUUUUGGGGGUUUUGUGUCGUAAAAAAUUUGGCCCAUCACUGGUACGCGGUAAAGCCACAAAUUUGGCCCGUCGCUGCUACCGGGUUAAAAGAUGAUCGCAGCAUGAGCCAAGCAAGAUGGCACCACUAUAAACACUUGCCCGCAUCAUAAGAGGCUGUGGCCAAGCACCAGGACCCAUUGAGAGGUCUAGCUGUGCCACAGACAUAUCGAUAAAAAAAAAAAAAAAGAUUAACUUUGACCUAGUAACUCAUUUAAUACCAUUCUCUGUGUAUUUACCUAUUUGUAGUAUAUGAUGUGCUCAAGAAUGGAUAGUCCUGUCUCCCAGUCUAUAUUUGUCCAAGUUUUCUCAUUUUUUGGACACUGCCCGCUUCAACAAUGUCUGUUUAGCUCAUGUAUCCACACUCCUAGGAUUAUGUGUGUGUGUGUGUGUGUGUGUGUUUAUGUUUUGAUGUAAUAUGCCUCUCUUGGUUUUAGUAAAGCAUUUGACAAAGCUCUUCACCACCGACUGUUGCUUACAUUACAGGCUCACGGAGUAGAGGGUAAAGUUUUGAACUGGGUCAAGGCGUGGCUUAGCAAUAGGAAGCAAUGGGUGCAAAUCAGUGGUUAAAGAUCUGACUGGGGUUGUGUUACGAGUGGGGUCCCACAAGGUUCGGUAUUAGGUCCACUGUUGUUCAUCAUUUACAUAUCAAUGACUUAGAUACAGGAAUUAAUAGUGAUGUUAGUAAGUUUGCAGAUGAUACCAAGAUCGGUAGAGUAAUUGAGUCACCAGGACGCUAGUAUUCUCCAGGAUGAACUAGACAGAUUGUAUAACUUGGCGGAUAAAUGGCAGAUGGAAUUCAGUGUAGGGAAGUGCAGUAUUCUGAGUGUAGGUAGGAACAACCCCUCACAUAACUAUUGCUUAAAUGACACUCCCAUAAGCAGGUUUGGGUGCGAGAGGGAUUUAGGGGUCUUAGUGAGCUCUCCGUCCAAGGGCACAAUGCAUUCAAGCUAGAUAUCGAGCAAACAGGGUACUGGGAUUUAUUUCAAGGAGUGUAAGCAACAGAAGCGCCGAAGUCUUCCUCAAACUAUAUUUAGCAUUAGUUAGACCUCAUCUUGAUUAUGCAGUUCAGUUCUGGUCACCUUACUACAUCAAAUUGUUAGAAUCGGUGCAGAGAAGAAUGACUAAGAUGAUUCAGGGGUUGAGAAACUUGCCAUCGAGGAAAGACUAAAACAAUUAAAUUUGCAUUGUCUAGAAAGGCGAAGGGUGUGAGGUGACUUGGCUUAUAAAUGGAUGAAGGGCUUUAAUAAGGGGGAUAUUAAUAAGGUUCUGAUGGUAAUGGGUUUAAACUGGAUAAAUUCGUAUUCAACAGGGCAAAAACUGGUUUACGAACAGUGGUAGAUAAGUGGAACAGGGAUGUCAUGUGUAUAUUAUAAUGUACAUGUGUAUGUAUGACUGUACGUGUGGCGACACCCGGUCGGUGUCGCACAACAGGAUGUCUAACAACACGUCGUGCUUUUGGCCGUGGGAAGCUGUGAUGAACUGACACUAGGAUUAGCAAAUGAUGACUUAAAUCAGCCGUCA